rnacentral:other from 1 species
AUUGACCUGGAGGUAUCGGGCGCUAGCAUAUUUAACCCGCUAACUAUAAUAAGGGAAUCAGAAUCAAUAGUGGUGUUCAUGCUUAAUUUUAAUUAAGAAGUCUAAAGCUAUUGUGGGAUGCCCACCUGCGAGAUGCGCAGGUUUAUUUUGCUAGUAAUCGACCCUUUGGGUCUUUU